AGGCUGAAAGAAUGAGGGUCAUGAUCAACUCAGUAUACCACUGGAGGCUCUGUCAUCUUCCUGCUGAUUUGUAUGCCUGGUAGUUUUUCACUGGAUGCUCUACAUGAGAUCAAAAUAUGCCACUCCAAAACAUGCCACUUUGGCAUACAAUUAUUUCAGAUUCAACAGAUGCAGAAAGAAGCCAUCUCAGAGCUUCCCUUAUCUCAUGAGAAGCAGAAACUUCUGAGAAAUGAGGACUGCUGUAAAUCUCCUCUUCUAGGGAAGUUUUAUGGCCACAGAGAAGAUGAAGUUGGCGCCAAGAUGGAUCUGCACAAACAAACCUUACUCCAUUAAUUUCCCUCAUAUAUUUACUUUCCCAUGGUUUACUGCCUUUGGGAGCCUAAGAUUUUUUUUUUUUCCUUUGACUUGUCACUUCUCUACGAAUUUAUUGUUCUUUGUUAAGAUGCAUAAACCCACAUUCUAACCACCUCUUUGAGUUUUUCAUCAUAUCACUGAGUUUCUCCUGGGUACACGCCCACUGUACAUGCUAAUAAACUAUUUGU
rnacentral:lncRNA from 1 species